rnacentral:tRNA from 1 species
UGGCUCAGUGGUAGGGCGCUUGCCUUGCAUGCAUGAGGCCCUGGGUUCGAUUCCUCAG